CCUCCAGGGGGUGUGGAGCUGAGAUCAAUGCACGAUUAAUGUCCAAACCCUAAACCGCUUCUGUAAUCAGAAGAGUUUAGAGUAAGGGGGUGGUUUGCCCGGUGUUUUCCUCCAGUUGUGCCAAACAAAAGAAACACCGAUGCCUACGCGUGUGUUAGAUCCCGGAGUUGAAUACCUCCGGGCAGGUUAGAAGGUAGUGGUGCCCAUUGACACGAACGUCUCUGAUGCUCACUUUGUUCCUCGCUUGCCAGCACCUCCACUUUUUGACUCUUUUUUUUCCCGAUAUUUUUCAAUUCAUAUUCGAAUAUAUAUUCUAGACAGGUUAGAAGGUAGUGCUCAUUGACAUGGACGUGUCUGAUGCUCACUUUGUUCCUCGCUUGCCAUCACCCCCACUUUUUGACUCUUUUUUUUCGAUAUUAUUCAGUUCAUAUUCAAAUACAUAUUCUUUAUUCCUACUUAUAACGUCUCUGAUGCUCACUUUGUUCCUCGCUUGCCAGCACCCCCACUUUUUGACUCUUUUUUUCGACAUUAUUCAGUUCAUAUUCAAAUACAUAUUCUUUAUUCCUACUUAUAACGUCUCUGAUGCUCACUUUGUUCCUCGCUUGCCAGCACCCCCACUUUUUGACUCUUUUUUUUCCCGAUAUUUUUCAAUUCAUAUUCGAAUAUAUAUUCUAGACAGGUUAGAAGGUAGUGCUCAUUGACAUGGACGUGUCUGAUGCUCACUUUGUUCCUCGCUUGCCAUCACCCCCACUUUUUGACUCUUUUUUUCGACAUUAUUCAAUUCAUAUUCAAAUACAUAUUCUUUAUUCCUACUUAUAACGUCUCUGAUGCUCACUUUGUUCCUCGCUUGCCAGCACCCCCACUUUUUGACUCUUUUUUUCGACAUUAUUCAGUUCAUAUUCAAAUACAUAUUCUUUAUUCCUACUUAUAACGUCUCUGAUGCUCACUUUGUUCCUCGCUUGCCAGCACCCCCACUUUUUGACUCUUUUUUUUCCCGAUAUUUUUCAAUUCAUAUUCGAAUAUAUAUUCUAGACAGGUUAGAAGGUAGUGCUCAUUGACAUGGACGUGUCUGAUGCUCACUUUGUUCCUCGCUUGCCAUCACCCCCACUUUUUGACUCUUUUUUUCGACAUUAUUCAAUUCAUAUUCAAAUACAUAUUCUUUAUUCCUACUUAUAUGUCAUCGUAAUUAAGUUAUGCAUGAACGAACAUUUAUGUUUAAUUAUAUAGUUUUUCUAUGUUGGUCAAAUUCAUGUUUUUCAUAGUCUAUUUAACAAAUUUAUCCCUCAUUCAUUUUAAAUGUUAUGGUGCAUUUUUUGAAAAUUAAUUUGACUAAUUUAUAAACUAGAUUAUAUUAAUUCAAUAUUUUAAGAAAAAAAUAGAUAUUUAAAAACUAUACGAAAGUAUUAAAUCCAAAACAUUUGUUCUCUUUCAUUUUCCCCUUGAUUUAUUUUAAUAUUUAUAUAGUUAUUACAUGCCAAAUUCCACUUACAUCAUCAGCUUAAUUUGGUUGAGUCAAUGUUAAAAAUAUGUAUUUUAAUUUUUAUUUAUUUAUUUACUAGGUAACUUAAAAUAUUAUAUUGAAAUAUAAAUUAAUCUUUUCAUAUUAUUUGAAUAUAAAAACUUUAUAGUUCAAAUUAAAUUAAAUAUAUUAAAAUUUGAAUUCAACUUAUUAUUAUUCACAUUGUACUAAUUUCUAACAAACAUAAUACACUACUAUUACAUUAAGAAAGAAAAGUACUUUUUCAUAUUUCAUAAAACAUAAAUUGAUUUAAUAUCAUAUGACAAGCUUAAAAAUAAACAAAGCUCGUUAAAAAGAUUAUUGAUAUUUCAUAAAACAUAAAUUGAUUUAAUGUCAUAUAACAAGCUUAAAAAUAAAUAAAGCUCGUUAAAAAGAUUAUUGGCGAAAAAAAACAUAGCCUAUACAUAAGAGUUUGAUUUUAUUUAUUACAUUACAUACUCCCUUCUUUUUUCACUUUCUUACAUUACAUACUCCCUUCAUUUCAAAACAGAGUUUUAUUUUAUUUAUUUUUUCUUCGAAUUGUGUUUUACAUUAUGUAGAAUUUAAUGAUUUUUAUUUCAAUCUUAUCCUUAUUUAAUCAAAAGAAAAUUUAUAUAAUUAAAAAUAUAGGUUAAAGAACUACUUUUUUCAAUAUAUAUUUAAAGUUAAUUUAGUAAAAGUAUCUUACUUCAUAGCCUCGCCUCAAAUUAAAAAAGAAAUUUAACAUACUACGAGAAGGCAAAUAUCAUAGAACGGAUUAGUAGUAGUUAAUACUCUUUUUCAAUGUCUGUGAUUUAUCUUGAGAUAAGAAAUGAUUAGGUGCCUCUUUGGCUCUUCAACUUAUGUCUUAGUAGUUAUCUGAGGAAGAUUUUUUUUAAAAAAAAAUUAUAAAAAAAACACUAUUUCCAAUAUGAAAUAAAAAAGAUAGAUAAUCUCAAGUAGGGAUUUCAUUAAAUUAAAAAAAUUACGAACAAAAUUGAGAAAUCUUUAAAGAAAAAAUAUAAAUAGUCCUCUGUGCAAUAUUUUAAAACCUUUGUUAGUAGUUUGUAGUAUUACGUACAAAGUCACAUAAAUAAUUUACAUCUAAACGAAAAUACAUACUUGCAAGUUGCAAUAGUAAAAAGUUAGUAAAAAUUUAAACUACAAAAGUUAAUGAAGAAAUAAACACACAUCCAUCUUCCUUGGAACCUUAUAAAAAAAAAAGAUAAAAAUCAAAAUACAAAAUCAAUCUCCACUUUUUUGAUCUCUUGUAUGACAGCCUUUUUGAUAAUUAAUCAAUAGUUUUCUUCACCGUAUCAAGUUAAAACAUGAAUUUAAUAAUACUACAAAAAAACAAUGAAAUAUACGAAAUAAUCUUAAGUUGAAAUUUCAUGAAACAAAAAGCUUGUAAAUUUAUUUUGUCAAUAAAAAUAGAGAUAUCAUAAUGUAUCUUAAAUUUUAUAAUUUAAUAGUUAAAUUAUGAAUAUAAAAACUUGAAAAAGUCACGGAAUUAAUGAUAUUAUAAAAAAUAAAGUUUUAUAGUUUACGUUAUGAGAUAAAACAUUAAAAUUAAAAUAAAAUAUAAAAAAAACGUAAAUAAAGUAGAUAGAAGAAAUACAUUUAUAUCAUAGAAAGAUAUGAUUUUUUUGUUUUUAAUAAACAAAAAAAAAAAAGUAAAAAAGAAAGGGAGCAAAGCACGGAAAGAACUACAAAACAAAUAAAAUUAUAAAAUUUAAUUACCGUGAAUAGUUUGCUGUAAUUCUUUUUAAAUAAAAUGAAAUAAUUUGUUAAUUGAUGAGAAUUUGAGAAAUAUUAUAGGUAAGAGAAUAAUAAUUUUAAUGACAAAAUAAAUUGAAUAUAGCUAUUGAUGAAAAUAUAACAAAUAUGAUUAUUUUUAAUGGUCUUUCAUUUUUUAGGUGAUUUUUUCUUAUUAGAAAAUUAGAAAAAAGGCCAAAAAGAGAUAAAAUUGAUUGAAACCUUAGGGAGGGUCACAUAACCAUUUUUAUAUACAUCUUUAUUAUUAUAUAUAGGUUUGUAAUUUAACCAUUUUUAUAUACAUCUUUAUUAUUAUAUAUAGGUUUGUAAUAAAUUUUAUUUUUCAUUUUUAUAUACAUCUUUAUUAUUAUAUAUAGGUUUGCAAUAAAUUUUACUUUUCAUAUUUACAGUAAAAUACUUAGUUUAAAUAAAAGAAAAAAUAUAAAUAUAAAUAAAUGUUACACAGAAAUUUCACACAUUAGACAAGAAAAGACAGAAACCAUACUUUUACAAUGAAUUAUGAAUUCAUAUUAUGGAAAAUAUUUUGGAUACAUAUUUAGAUAAUAUAUUUUUCGCGUAAUUAAAUACACAUAUUUAUGCAACUUAAAUAUGGAACAUCUUCAUUUUACUUUUUUCUAUAGUGUCAACUGUUUUUUCUAAUGUUCAAAUUCAAAAUUAUAAAUCUUUACCUAUAAAACCUAAAAAAGAACAAAAAAUUAUCUUAGCAUAAUUUAUAAAAUAAUUAUAAAAUUUAAGUAAAAGAAAAAAUAUAAAUUCAAAUAAUGUUAUAGAGAAAUGUCACAAAUUAUACAAGAAAAAGCAAAGAAUCAUACUUUAUGAAUCUUCAUCAAAAAUAUAUUGAAUAUAUAUUUAGAUAAUAAAUUUUUUAAGUAAUUAAAUACACAUAUAUAUGCAAUUUUAAUAUGGAACAUCUCCAUCUUACCUUUUUCUAUAGUGUCAUUUGCUUUAUAUAUAUAUAUAUAUAUAUAUAAUUUGUAGUUAAAUUAUUGAUAUAUGUUGGAAUUUGGAUUCCUUGGAGUGUCGACGUCAUUCACGGCUCGAUUUGGGUCUUGUAGAUGAUAAAUUACAUGAUUGAACCUCAUUAAAUUGAAACAAAUUUAUACAUUUUUUAUUUAACUAAUAAAAUUUUUCAUUGACCGUCUUCAGAGGUUCGUGUAUAAGAGAUGUAUAUGACGAUCCACAUUGAGAAUUCAAAAGGCACUUGCAAUAUUAUUUUGAGCUAAAUUUAUUAUUCAAAUCUUCACUAAAAUAAGCAAUCGUAUUUACUAUAUCAUAUAUUUUCUUAAUUGGUCAUCACAUGCAACGCACGUGUCAAAAAACUAAUUUAAGAUAAAUGUACACAUAUAUUAAUAGGGGUGGGCAUUCGGUAUUUCGGUUCGGUUCGGGUUUUUUUUCGGUUUUUGGUUUUUGUAAAUUGCGUACUGAAUACCGAACCGAAAUAUUUCGGUUCGGUUCGGUUUUUGUUAAUUCGGUUCGGUUUUUAUUAAUUCGGUUCGGUUUUUUAUUUCGGUUUUUUAAUGGGCCUGUUUAGUGGGCUUUUUAAAAUUUUAAACUUAACAAUUUUUUCAAUUUUUUGUUUGAUUUUUCAACUUAAUGGGCUUUGAUAUUUCAACUUAGGGUUUCUUAUUUUUUUAAAAAAAGAUUAUUUAAUAUUAAUAAUUAUUAAAUAUAAUAUAAUUUAUAAAUUAUAAUAUAAUAUUUCGGUUUAAAUCGAAAUACCGAAUUCCAAAGUAACAUGUACCGAAAACCGAACUGAAAUACCAAAAAUAUAAAAAUUUAAACCGAAUACCGAACCAAAAACCGAAAUAUCGAAACCGAAAUUUAAAAAAAUUUCGGUUCGAUUCGGUGUUUCGAUUUUCCGAUUUUUAUGCCCACCCCUACAUAUAUAAUCUCAAUAAUAGCAUCUAAUAUUCUAUAUAACUUAUAUAAUAGGGUGGGAUGGAGUGGUGCGUGGAGUUUGUGAGUGGGAUAGUCACGAAGAUCGAAUGAAUGAGAAAAAGAUAAUGAAUUUGAAAUAUUACUAGAACUUAUUUUAUUAAGAAAGUUAUUUUCCUUAUAUGAAACAAUAUAGUAAAUUGAAAAUAUAUGAAACUAUUUGAAUUUUUGUUAUUAUUUACUUUUACAUAAUUUUCAUUGAAUCUAAUAAAUUUAGACUUAGAUUAUAAACAUUAUCUUUUAAUAAAUUUAAAGGACGGACAAAACUACAAAUAUCAUUUAUAAGGUAAUAUAGUUAGGUCAGGAAACACAUGAAGAGCCAUAACCGAAAAUAUCUUAGUUAACUCACGAAAUGGAACGAGUAAUACGUAGAGUUGGGAACCAAAAUAAGCCACAAAAAUAUAAAAGUAACCAAAAUAAGUCACUAUUUUAGUAAGUAACUAAAAUAAGCUUAGUGGAAGAAAAAGUUUCACUAUAUCCAAUUUUCUAAACGUUUUCCGUUACUUUCAUAACGUUUAUUUUUAAUAUAUAACGAAACUUUUUCUUCCACUUUAUAAAAAGAUAUCUUUUUCAUCUUCACCUUCACCUUCUCUUCUUUUCCUUUUCAUGGCUUCCAAAAAAAAAUUAACUUUGAAGAUGGUCCCAAUCCGACAGUUUGAAGCGGCCCCACACUAAACAAAUUGAAAUUUUGGAGUAGCACAACCCGACAACAUGCAACUCAUAUUCGUUUUUUUAGGUGCAAAAAUAGGUAAGAUUGCAGCCUUGUACUUGUAGGAAUUUUUUUAUUUUUUUAGAAUGUGAUUUUGGUUUGAUUUACUUUCAACCUUAGACUUAAUUUAGUUUUGGUUAGGAAGGCAUCUAAAUUCAUUGAUACAAAACUUUAGGUUUACACGUCCUAUAAAAGUUUCAAUAGUAACACUACUUCAAAAUCAUAUGAAAAUAAAAUAAAAUAAAUUAAGAGGCAGAAUAUCGUAAAAUAUAUGACAAAAUAAAAGUAUUUAUGUCAUAAAGUACACAAAAAUUCAUCUUUUUGUCUAGCUUUAAGUUGAAACAUUUUCUGAUUUUUAUUUUUUCCUAAAAAAUAUCAACAAAUUUUCAUAAUUUUCCCACAUGGUGGAUUUUAUUGGUUGACUAUUUCUGCACCAAUAUGUGUCUUGACUAUCAACAUGCAAAUUGACUACUGUUUCAGGAUUGAAGUGUUUCAAAGCUUCCACGAACCUCGGCAACUCGGCAAAAGAACACUCCCAAGUACCAUAGACUUUUUCAAAAGCCUGCUUGCGAUCAAGAUAAAUUUUUCUUUUACUUACUGAAAUGUCAUAUGCUUUAAGAACAACUGUUUGACAGUCUUUGAUGAGAAACCUGAAAUUAAUAAUAAUAUUAAUUAUCAAAUAAAAAAUGAAUAUUCCCUUAAUAAAUAAAAAUUAUCUAGGGAUAAAAUUAUACCUUGGCGUUCUUUCUAUAUCAACACGGAGGACGUUAGCAAUCAUCUCAACAUCCAAGUUGAAAUUCCCUUCGCGGCGCGUACCCAUAUCACAUGUAUGUUCUUUAAUGUGUCUUUCAACUUUCCGCAUGUUAGUAUGUUUAUAAAUAAAAGAAGUCAACCUAAAUCGACAUCCUUGUUCUACACACCUGCAAACAAGUCGCCAUGAUUUCUUUGUUGAUUUAAUAACAAAUCACUCCCUUGCUAUGUUCAAAUGUAGAAGUUUAACUGCUCUUUGCAACUGCUUCUUUGAAUUGAAUAAUAUGUCUUUUUCAAUAUAAAUAGCAUUUCAUGAAAUCUUCUGGUUCAUGCCACGUAGGUUGUGAUAUAUAUAUUUAUCACGUGUAUCACCAAAGAUAUCUGGACCAUUCGAGAGAUGAUCAAGAUAGGAAUUUCAUGAUUACGAAACGGACUCAUGGACAUUGGUCUUGGCGAUCGAUUGGGAGUCAAAAAAUCAUCAUCACUAGAUGAUGCCUCAAAUGGAACAUCAUCUCCUGAUUCCUUAGCAUUAGACAAAUCAUCACUAUCACUAGCUGAAGGUGAGCCGUAAUUAGGAAGGUCACGAUCAUCGAUAUUCACAGGAUCAAUGGGCUCAUCUUGUGUAGUAUCUUUUCUAUAUAUGUAAAAAAAAUAUAAAUAUUUGGCUCAUGCAAUUAACUUACUCAAAUAAAAAAAUUAAGUGUUAGACAUAGCGAUAAUCAUCUACAUCAAAAGUAGGCGAGACAUGAAAAUUUGAGGAUGUCCCAGCAUUUUCCGUCAUUUCAAAGUGUGAAGACUGACCAAAAUAAUUAUUUAGUCCAUAACUUGGAGCAAUAUCCCUAUCUUGCUGAGGUAAACCGCUAUAAAAUAUAUAAUAAUGAGAAUAAUAAAUAAUAUAAAUUAAUAAAUAAUUGACAAAAUCAACAAUCAUUAAAAUACAAUAAUUGAGCAUUACCGAUCACUAUCAUUGAUAGUUUUGUUUAAAUCAAAAUCAUAUCGGCCGAUAAGAGUAUUUUGAUAAUGAGUCAUUUUAGAAAAGUCAGUAGAUUGAGUUACCGGAAAUUCAUCAAUGCUAUUACGAUUUUCUGAUUAGGGAUGAACAUCGACUGAUAAAGGAGAACGUUGUUGACUAAUCUUAGGCUCCUUCCUAACAUAGAUUCCAAGUAUUAUUGACUUGAUUUGAUCUAUAUAGUCAUUUGGAACCUUUAAAAAGUCGGUCAACGAUUCGUCAUUAUAGAUAAUUCACUCUCCAAAAUUUACUUGUCCUAUGAUAAAAAUGAAGUAGGAUAUUUUCCAGCUAUAAUCAACUUAUAAUCGUACCGUUUAUACCCAUUUUUUAAUAAAUUGAUGAAAUAAAUUUAUGAUAUAGGACAUUUAUUGGAUAUUUAGCAUUGUGUUUGGGAGGACAAUUAUAAUAAAUGGUAUUUCCGUCAUGUAUAAUUUCGCCAUCCCAAUCAAUUAAAACUUUAAAUUUAGGUUUAGAUUUUUUUUAGAUUGAAAUGAACAAAUAUAGAAGAUUUAUGUUGUAGGUGCUAUCAACUAUGUAUAAACGUCCUUAAAUAGAUUUUUCAGAAUAAAAUAAUAAAAAUACAUAAUGAAAUAUUUUUUUUCGUUUUAAUGACAUAUCAAAUUAAUAUAAUUUAUAUGACAACACUGAAAAAGCUUCUUCAAGACGUGAAUAAUAUUUUUCUUAUAAAGUGUAAUAAAAAGUUCUACUUUAUAAAGUGGAAUAAAAAGUUUCACUUUAUAAAAUGGAAUAAAAAGUUCCACCUUAUAAAGUGGAAGAAAAAACUUCACUUUAUAAAGUGUAAGAAAAAGUUCCGUUAUAUAUUAAAAAUAAACGUUAUGAAACUAACGGAAAACGUUUAGAUUAUUGGAUAUAGUGAAAUUUUUUCUUCCACUAAGCUUAUUUUAGUUACUUACUAAAAUAGUGGCCUAUUUUGAUUACUUUUAUAUUUUUGUGGCUUAUUUUGGUUCGCAACUCUAAUACGUACAGCAGCAGCUAGUGCAUUUCUCUUUGGUCUAAAAUGGUACAGCAAUAUAACUGGUGAAACAGAUUCAGAUCUCCUUCAAAACUGUAUCCAAAUGACCCGACCCAGCUGGAAGAACAAUAGAGGAUAAAUGGAUAAAUGGGUCGGGUCAUUGGGUUGAAAUAGGAAGUAGGACUUUUUGAAAAUAAUUCUGGUCAAUUUGGGUUGAUUUUGGAGAUUUCGUCUAAUGAGAGGUAAAUUUGGUGAAAAUUAAUAACAUGAGAGGUAAAAUUAAUUUCAUUUUGAUAAAGUCAAACAAUAAACUAAAGUUGAGGGAUAUUUUUAACUCUUUUUCCUUUAAUGUGUCUAUGACUGAUGCAUAAAACUCAAAAAAAAGUAAUUAUAUAUAAUUAUUAAAAAAUAUACAAAUUAAAUUUAAAAAAAUAAAAAAGACACAUAAACUUUAGUACACUGAAAACAUAAAAUAACAUAAUGGGAAAUUGAUAAAAAAAAAUACAAAUUACAAAAAAUAUAUGAGAUAUAUUAUACAAACGCCUCAAAUCUUCACCAUCAUCUUGUUCUAUUGACUCAAAUUCGACAAUUUCUUCUUCAAAUGUUUUUGAUUCAGUAUUAAUAGAUACAGAUUUUUUUAACUUUUCAUUUUUUUAAUAUUGUUAGAACCAUCUUCCUUUUGUUCAUCAACUUUCUUGAACCAUCUUUCUUUUGUUCCUAUCCUUUUUUUUUCUUAUUUAUUGAAUUAAAAUGUAAAAAUAAUAAUAAUUGUAAACCGCCAGAAGUUAACUGAAUUUAGGGAAGCAUGAUUAGGAGAAAUGAAUGUCUUUGAAGUUUCAAUCUGAUUAUGGCUUAGUGAGAGUGGAGUGUUUGAUGAGACCGAAUAACUAAUUUGUAUAAAAUAUAUAUAUAAAAAAAAGGUAAGAGAGGAUAUUUUAUGCGUUGAUACAAAUUAGGUUUAUGGGUAUCGCAAAAUUAGUAUAUUGGACGCUGCUUGCGAAUUAUAAUUAGUUGAAACUAUAAUAAUGAUAAGUGACUCACUAAUAAAUAUUUUCUUAGUUACAUAAUUUUUCUUAUUAAAUCAAGUAUCUUGGACCAAUCUAAUAUAAUAUAGACAAAUGAUAUAAAAACUACUAAAAGAUAGGAAUGACACAAUUAAUAUGUUACUUAAUUUUUCUUUAUUACUUUUGAACCACCUUCCAUUUGUUCAACAACUCGCUUGAACCAUCUUUUUUUUUUGUUCCUCUCCUUCUUUAAUUCCUAUUUAUUAAAUUAAAUCCUGCAAAAUUUAUUGCAUCUUGAUAUAUAAAUGAAAAUUUUAAAAUAAAAUAAAAUUAAAAAUCGUUAGAAGUUAUUUAAAAUUGGAGAAGCGCGAUUAGAAGAUGGAAAGAAUAUCUUUGAAAUUUCAAUUUUUGAUUGUAAUUAAGAGAAUUCAGCAAAGCAGUUUAGUGUUUGAUAAAAGUGAAUAACUAAUUUAUAUAAAAGAGAAAAAAGCAAGAGACGGCAUUUUAUGCGUUGAUAAAAAUUAGGUUCGUGGUCUCGCAAAAUUAGUAACUAUUAAAAUUAAAAGCUAAUCGUAAAUCAUAAUUAGUUGAAAGUAUAAUAAUGAUAAAUAAUUCGCCAGUAUAUUUUUACUUAAUUACGAGCAUUUUGAGCCUGUGCUCAUGACCAAUUUAGUAUAAUAUAGUCAAAUAAUAUAAAAAGAUCGAAUAAAAACUAAUUAAAAGAUAGGACUAGGGAUGGCAAUCGAGCCGGGGCGGGCGGUUGCGAGGGCAAACCCGUAUAAAUUUAAGGAGACUUUAAUCCACCUGCUCUAACUGCAUAGACUAAUUUUUACCUUUUCAACCCGCUUGCCUCCGCCGUAUAAACUCAUCUCGCAUAAAUUUUCUUAUUAUUUUUUUUCACUUGAUCAUUUAACUUUAACAUUCGAGUAUAAUUUUUCUUUUGAAUAUUCAAUUAUAAAUUACAAAAAGAUAAUAAAUAACAUAUGGAUAAAAUUGAAAUCAUUUUAGAUUCGUACGUUCCUAUUUUGGCUCACCUAAAUGCCUAAAUCUACAGCACAUUUUGCUCAACUUAUCAGUCAUCAAAAUUUGACUACAUAUUGAUGCCUCUUCUCUUGCCGUUAUUAUCGAUUACAAAAUAAAAACAAAAAAUAAAAAUGUCGAUCGAUAACUUCUUCUUUUUUACACUGAAAAUUAUUAAAAUUAUAAUCUCUUAUAUUUUAUUAAAAAAUUAAAAAUAAAAAUAUACAAAAAUUAGAGUUCUAUAUACCACAAAUUGCCAUGUAGAUUUUGAGUUAGAAUAUGUGGAGUAGCCUUUCUGUUGGGAUUUUUUUUCUAUCUGUACUUUGGCUAAAGUAACUCAAACCAAAAACUGUCACAAUUUUUUGACAAGUGACACACAUGCAAAUAAAUAAUUAUACUAAUUAAGAAAAUAAAUAAAUAUAUUGCAUGCAUGCCAUUUAUCAUACUUCCACAAAAACAACAAACCAUUCUGUUUCACGUACAAACAUGAACACUUUUGAACUAAGGGCCCCAUUCAAGUCAAGUAAAACAAACAUAUAUUUGAACCAGAAAAAUAAAAAUUAAAAAAAUUAAUCCAUUGGUUUAUUUAGUGGAAAGGUAUAAUAAUUCUGUAUACACUCUUUAACUUUUUCAUACACACUGAAAUAAUUAACAUUGUUAAAUAACAUUUAAUAAUUCUAUAUAUAAUUUUGACUUCUUUCGCAUCACACUCGUAAAAUGGUUAAUAUUGUUACAUAACAAUAACAAUAACUUCAUCAUAUUUCACGGUACAUUAGAACAGAAAGAAAAAUUCAUAAUGUGCCAAAUAAACUUAUAAUCAAAUUCAUAAUUAUUUACUUAAAAUAAAUUUCUUAAAUAUAGAUAAUAUAUGAGUAAUAAUCAGGGGCAGAGGUAGUGUAAAAAUAGUACUAAUUAUACAUAGUUAAAAUUAUUUUUUAGGUAUAUAUAAUAUAUGUUGAAUCUUUCGUUCGUAUGUUUUACUUCUCAAAUUUUAAAUCCCCUGACUUCGUCACCGGUAAUAAUAUUAAAUUUCCAUGAACUCAUAUGUUUUCUCGUCGAGUAUUAUGACGUGGCGUCACCAGAAUUGCUCAUAGGAUUAGAUAAAGUUAUAUGGUGCUACACACAAGAUUUACUCAAAAGACAAAAACCUGCGUUCAGUUACAAAUAUAUAUUUUUAUUUGAAAAAUUAAUUAAUUUUUUUUAAAAUGGGGUAAGACUUGGCCACAUAGAUAUAUCCGAAAGAACAGCUGGAUAAGGGUAUUUAUGUAAUUUAAUUUGUCUAAUAAACAUUCUACUAAUUGAAUUAGAAAAUCUAGGCGCAUAUCCUAAUAAAUUCCCCCAUUUUUCUCUAACAACAGAGAUACAGCCUGUAUAUGGACUCAUUUCAAACCUUUUUUUGUUCUAUAAAAGUUUCAAAUUAUCCAAAAAUGUUUCAAUCACUAUCAACAAAACCUCCAAUUAAAAAUUCCUUAAAUCUUACUUAAAGUUUGAAUUAUUAAAAUUGUGUUUUGAUUUGAAGCAAAAUGGCAAGAAGAAAUUUUGUGGAUUGAGAGUUUGUUUGAUUUUUUUUUUUCAUUUGCUUUUCAGUGUUGAACUGUUCUCACAUAUCAGGUAAAAAAAAAUUUCAUGGUGGGUUUAUGUUGCUUUUUUUUUGUUGUUGUUUAAUUUUGUAAAGUAAUUUGAAGUUUUAAAUUGUUCAUAUUGUUUCAAUGACGAAAAGAGACGAGAUGUUUCUGCGUUCAGAGAAAUGCCAAAAAUCUCAGUCAGUUUAUAUGUUCAAAGUUUGUUUAAUCUCAUAGCAAUGUUCUAUUUUGUUGCUUAAAUUGUAGUUUUAGGUUAAUUUCUAUGUCGAAUGUUAUAAUUAUCGGUUCUUUCUUUAAACAAUUUUUUGGGUGAUUUCUUCAAUUUUAUAACAUUUAUUUUUGGUGAAAUUGAUGAUGGGCUUGUUGUGAUGUUAUCAGCAGUAGUGUUAGAUAAAGCUUAUAACUAUUGUCUUCCUUUUUCUCUGUUUAUUUGUUAUUUUUCAUCAUUUUUUUUAUUGAAUUUAUUUGAUUUUUAGUCAUGAGAAAUGUAUGUAUAUGCCAUUUCAAUUAGAUAAGUUUUGUUUUUUUGAUGUAUAUGCUGAAAUAAAAUUUUUUGAAUUGUUUUAUUAGUAAUGGUUUUGGAUUAAGUCAACAUCCAUGUUUGAUUUGUUAGGUUGAAUAUGAGCAUGAAUUUCUCCGAGUCUACUAGAGAUGUAUAUAAUCGAAUCCAGAAACUAGAGCCAGAUCAUGUGAAUAAGAUCAUUGUCUAUCUCAUCGAUCAGCAUCAUGGUGAGCAGGACAUGAUUCGAUUAGCGUUUAGUCCCGAAAAUGUGAUCCGUUCGAUUGUUAACAAAGCUAAGAAUGAUCUUGGAUUAUUAUCACCCAAACCAGCCAUUUCUGGUCCUCUUUCACCCCCAUUGAAAUUUGGUCUAUUCUCAUCAGCUUCACCUCGCCCCUUUACGAACCAUCAAGUUGGAAAUCUAUACUGGGAGCAUCAAGGGCAGGCUGAAAAUCGUCCAAUUCAUAGCUCAGAUAUUUUGCCAGCAGGUUGCUCCGAUCCUAUGACUGAUGAAUAUCAACUCCAAAAUCAACUUCAUUUCUUAUCUUUGUAUGAUCACUCAGACCACAAUUUCGUUGGACGUACAUUUGGUCCAAGAUCGAGUCGAAGAACUUCAAGCUUACCUGAGAUUCCUGUUAAGAUUUGUCAUUACUUUAACAAAGGCUAUUGUAAGCAUGGAAAUAACUGUAGAUACGUUCAUGCAUAUCCAACGCAGGAAAGCUUCUCCCAAGUUUUCAACGGAAAUUUAAAUGAUGUAGUUACUGAUGAACAUGCUAUCUCUCCUGGAUCUCUAAAGAAACUAGAGAUGGAGCUCACUCAGCUUCUCAAAUCCAAAGGGGGUGACCCUGUUUCUAUUGCUUCAUUGCCUAUGUUGUAUCAUGAGAUGUUUGGCAGAACACUUCAGGCCGAGGGUUAUCUCACAGAAAGUCAGAGACACGGGAAAGCUGGAUAUAGCCUGACUAAACUCCUCUCCCGACUAAGAAACAGCAUUCGUGUCAUCGACAGGUGCAACUUUUCUAUCUCUCUCAUUUGUGGAUUUUGUUCUUUGAUACAAACUGUAUUUGAUAUAAAUUUUUUUGUAUUUACAACAGGCCCCAUGGACAGCAUGCGGUUAUUUUGGCUAAGGAUAUUCACAAAUACUUGGAAUGCAAUGGAGAAAGAAAUGAACAUGGAGCAAUUGUAGCUGAUUCUCGCCAGAUUUAUCUGACUUUUCCGGCUGAGAGUACCUUCAGCGAGCAAGAUGUUUCCAACUAUUUCACGUAAGUCACUCCAAGUGAAUCGACACAUUAUUAGUCAUCUUUUUCCGUCUUCACAACGUAUUUCAUGUUUAUGCAGUCAGUUUGGACCAGUCCAAGAUGUUAGGAUUCCUUGUCAACAGAAGAGAAUGUUCGGAUUUGUAACUUUUGCUUACACAGAGACAGUUAAGCAGAUCUUGUCAAGGGGGAAUCCUCAUUUAGUCUGCGAUGCACGUGUUUUGGUGAAACCUUACAGGGAAAAGUCCAAGCUAGUAGAUAGGUACAUUCCCUGGUUUCUAUUCUGUGAAGGCUUCUAAUCACAUAUUUGCAUAUUUGUUACAUAUUGUUAAAAAAUCUUCAUUUCCUAAGUAUCCUACUUAACCGGCUUGAUGUGGAAUGAUGAGGAUGCAAUGAUAAUUUGGCGCUAAUGUCAUUUAUCUUUUGUAGUUCAAUAUAUUGAAAUUGGUGGUGGUUGCACUUUGAAUACUCUUGAACUUAAGUUUUCAGAUUUGUGGUUGUUUGUUUAAUGGCUGUUUUCAGGAUACUUGAGCAACAUGGCUCAAUUUUAGUUCCAAUUAAGCUAUUAUAUUUGUUUUUAUUUUUCAACAAGUAUGUUUUAUACAAGUCUUACAAUUUACACAUUUUCCUCAACUGUUAACAUUGUGAUGUUUCAAGAAUAUUGUAUGUAUCAUCUGAAGAAUAUCGAUUCACUUGAGGGACUACGACUUACAGAAUCUCUUAGACUUGGGAUAACACUGUUGGAAUUUGCAUUUGAUGCGAUUUUAUCUUCUAUGUGCAGAAAAUGUCCGGAGAAAGCUUAUCAAGCUUCUUGUUAUAAUCCUUUCGCUCAUGCAGUAUCUGCACACCAAUCUUGUAAGAUGCAUUUCACCUCAAUCUACGGAAAUCUGCUUCCUGCAUCAUACCUUUCUUUAAUAAUUUUUUGUCAUAGAAGUAAUAUUCAUAUUGGUUUCUGUUUUUAGUACAUAGGCGGGCAAUUGAGUUUGAGCGAAGACGUUUUGAGGAGUUUCAACAUUAUCAAAUGCAUGUUGGCUACUCAAUAGAGAAUUUGAAACUUGCUUCAGAAGGUUGUUAAGUUUAUUCCAUAUAAGAAUCUUUCUUAUUUAUCCUCCAUUUCAUCUAACAUUGUUGUUUUCUUUUCCUACUUUCCCAUUUCACCUGACAUCUUUUCCUACAUGUAUAGGACAUAGCGAACAGUUAGAUUUUCCAUCGGCUGAGGGUUUUCCUUACAUGCUAAAUGUAUGGAACAAUGGUUCCGCCAGCAACAACAAAACUAGUCUUGUUAAGACAAAUCAUUAUGACCAAGAAAGGUAAGUCAUUUUUUUAUAUAAUCACGAUUUAACAUGUUAUAACAAUAUGCCAGUGUAAGAAAAAUAUGUUUAUUUGUAUUCAAUCAAUAUUUCGGAAUCGUGCAGGUUUCAAGUACUGAAUCUUCCUGAAAGCCCUUUUGCAUCUCCAACAAGGAAUAGCAUUUGAACGGUCACUUAGUAAGUUCAGAAACUCAAAUAUUACAAAGAGGACUACUGACUUUUUCGGAAUAGCAAUUUGGACAUUCGACCCACAAACUACUACUUCUCUUCCUCCAUAUUUUCCAUAGUAAUUUAGUAUAGUUGUUCAGCUGCCUGCAAAUACAUCUGAUCUUGCAGAAAGUAUUAUUAUUAUUAUUAUUAUUAUUUUUCUUUUCUCUUAGGUGCACAUCAUAAGAAAUUGAUAUAUCUUUAAAGUUUGAUGGAUAGGUCCAGAUCUAGCAAAGUUGGAUAAACAGAAAUGCUAAUGUUUUAAGUGCUAACAAUAAAGUUAUAUAUAAUUUUCAUUUCCAUUCUCUCUAUAUAUAUUUUUUUAACAUAAUUUUAUUAUAUUCUAGAUUUUCUGUAUCGAUGAUGUUUGAAUCAAUUGUAUGUAUCUCGAUUAAUUCACACAGUAUUUCAUACCAGCUAGACUUUGGUGGAUAAGAAAGAAUUUUGAUUUGAACAUCAUUUGUGCCAUUCAUUAUGGUGAUAAGUUAAAUAUUCUAGUUUGAAAAAGAGACAACGAUGGUAAGUUGGGUUGUAAUAGGUUGGCAACUGGAAGAAAUGGAGCCAACCCUAAAUUGCAUUAUAAAACAAGUUUUUUUUGGAUUCCUUCUUAAGAAGCUAUUAAACAUAAUAAAUAGUCAUUCUCGUCCUCUUUUGCUAAUUAAAAGUAUAUAAUCUGCUAAUUUAAUAAAUAAGUCGAAUAUGUGAUAUGUUGUGGUCCUCAGCAGCUUCACAUGUUCUUUUAAUUGGACAUCACACACAAUCAAAAAAUUAUAUUUUUGUAUCCUUGAUUUGCGGAAGUCAUCAAGUUUGGUUUUUAAAAAAUAAUUUUUGAUGUUAAAAUAAUUUUUCACCAGUUUGUACUUAAUAUUUUAUGGUUUCUCACUAAUAUUUAAGUAAAAAUUUUAACAAUAAUAAUAUUUUUUUUAUGAAAGUAUUUUUAAUAUAUUCUUAUUGAGUGAAAAAAUAUAUAUUGUAAUUUGAGAUUAGAGUUGUGAUUUGUUUAAUAGUGAUUUGACUUUGAGGAAAGGAGUGGUGGUGAAGUGCGACAUUGAUUUUAGAUUAUUAUUUGUGGACCUCAUGUGGAUUUAAUUAUAGAUUUAAGGGACCUACAUAUCUACUCUUAUUCAAUCUUUUUAUGUGACACAUAUUAUAUGUCUAUGUCUAUGACCAUAAACCUUUUUUUUCUUUCAUUUCUUGGCCACAAGAUAGUUUGAUUCUAUUCUACCCAAUUCUAUUAAUUUAUAAAUUAUAUUUUCAAAACUAAAUUUCACUUGAUAAUUUAUAAAAUAUUUCUCCUUAAAUUUGUUGAUAAUUUGUUCAAGAAAAUCUAUAAUAGCAAAAACAAUUAUCUUAUUUAGUACCUUUUAUAUAUAUAUAUACAUAUAUAGAUAUAUAUAUACACUCGCGUAACUUCUUAAAACGCAUAGUAAUUAAUUAUAAUUUGAUUAUUGAUUUUUUUUCCAGUGGACAACAACAUUUUUCUUAGUACUUUGCAUGACAAAAUAUGCAUAUAUAAAUUAUUGUACGUCAUAUAAUACCACAAAUGUUUAAAUCUGAAGAAAACUUUUUUUAGUGAGCCAAUUGUUACACAACUUAUUAAAAUUAUCUAAAAGUAUUUUAAAAUAGAAUUAAAACCUCACACCAAAUAAUAUCCUUUUUUUAUAAUCAUAAUAUUUCAUAAUAUUUUUAAAUAUAAAAUAGGUUUAAAUCAUUUAUAUUGUAAGGAAAAAGCUUCAAAUAUAUCAUCGAAUUUUUAGAAAAGGUUCAUCUAUGAUAUAUGUUAGAAAUUUUGUUCAUCUAUGUCAUUUUCAUUUGAGAAAAGACUCAUCGAUGAUAUUCUAUGUCAACUAAAAUGGCAUAGAUGAGUCAAACUCUUAAUGAAUUGCAUAAAUGAGCUUUUUCUCAUAGUUCAAUGACAUAUUUAAGCGUUUUCUCCUUUUUAAAAAGAAAUAAUUAAUAUUGUGGCCGAAUCAUAAUUGAUCAUGGGUAAAAAUUAUUUGCAAAAUAAAAACUAGCUUUACUUUACAAACAAUGGCAUAGAUGGACCGAAAUGCAUAGAUGAAUCAAACUUUUAAGGGAAACUUUCACAUAUAACCACAUAAAAAUAACUUAAUUACGUUCCAUAGCUAUAGUUUGAUAAUUACAAUUCAUAGUUACUUGUUAUAUGGAGGAGAGAGGCGAGCGAGACUAGGAGAGUAAGGAGAGAGGCGAGAGAGAGGGAAAGAGUGGGAGAAAGGUGAAUUGUAUAUGUAUAUUGAUCGGUUAAAUAAUUAUAUAUUAUACAUUUGUAUUUGUAUAUAUGGCAAGCGAGAGUGAGAGGGAGGAGAGAAGCGAGCGAGACUAGAGAGGGAGGAGAGAGGCGAGCGAGAUUGGGAGAGGAAGGAGAAAGGGCAUAGAGUGGGAGAGAGGUGAAUUGUAUAUGUAUAUUAUACAUAUACAUUUGUAUAUAGGGCAAGCGAGAUUGGGCGAGGCAGGAGAGAGACGAGCAAGAGAGGGCAUAAAGUUGGAGAGUGGUGAAUUGUAUAUGUAUAUAGAUUAAAUAAUUGUAUAUUAUACAUAUAUAUUUAUAUAUUGAGGCGAAUUUUACAUAUACAAACGUGACUAAUUAUACAAACUCGAAGUCAGUCCACGUAAUUAAUGUAUAAUGUUAGUCGCGAGUGAUAAUUAUAGCAAACUAUAGCUAUGAUGAGUAAUUAAAUAGUAUAAGUUUGUUUUCUUGCCAAAUUUUCCUAACUUUUAACAGGUGAUAUAAAUGAGUCUUUUCUAAAAGUUCGAUGACAUAUUUGAGGCUUUUCUCAUAUUUAAAUGAUUGCUACUCUUUAAAAAAUCAUACAAAUUAAGACAAUAUUAUUUAAAAUUUAAUUAUUUGAUAAUCUAAUUUUAUAUUUGAAGUGUCAAAGAUAACACCUCAAAAUAUUAAAAAUACUCGUACAGUGUAAAUACUAAAACAUAAUUAAUUGAUAUAUAAGUAAAAUAGACCAAUUAAAAAAUAGAAAGUAAAAGCAGUUAAAUUACCUACACUUUUACCUAUAAUUACAUCAAUCACAUUUUUAUAAAAAAUAAUAUUGUAAAAAUAUAUACACAAUAACUAAUGAAAAUUUGACAAUAAAUAAUUUAAUGCAUUAUUGUUUGGAGCCUAAAACCACUACUUUUGUGUUGAGUCGCCUAUAUAUUAUUUUAGAUUUUAGAAAUAUAGAGAAUAGAAACUUUUGUCUAUAACUAUUUAUUAGAAUGCAAGUCAUAAAAAGGGAAAUUUUCAAAAAUAUAUCGCCAACCCAAAGUAUAUUUUUGUAAGAACUUAGAAAAAGAUUUUUUGUCCUUACACUAUUUAAUAGCUUAUUUUAAAGUUAUAUGUGUGUUCACGUAAAUAUCAUCACUAUGUUGAAAUAUUUUUUAGAGCCCUUUCUCCUUUCUAUAUUCUUAUAUAUUUCUUUCGUGUCAAAAAUAAAUUAUGUGAAGGUAAUUAUGUGAAGAUAUUAAAAUAAGAACGAAGCUUAAAAACAGAAUUUUUUUUAAAAAAAAUUAUGCUCUAAAAUAUAAUUUAUACAUAUUUAUGUGUAUAUAAAUUAUCUCAUACCAAAAUAAAAAUCUUAAAACCAAAUUAUUACUAUAUUAAAGUUCUCUUUUUGGUCAAAUACUACCCCAAAAAGUGAAAACAGAGGAAUUAUGUCGUUUUAUCAACCGAAAAGAAUGUAAAAAUUGCGACUAAACUAUGCGAAACAGAUCAUCUAUAUUUUUUAUUAUAUUUUAGGAUCAAAAAUGUUCAUGCCGUUAUUCUAAGAGAUCACAAAUACACUUAAUAGUUAACAUCUCAAAUUCUUAGUGACAUCACAAGCCACGUAAGACUAAUUCUUUCACAUAAUUAUUGCCAACUAGGAUUCACUACAAAAAAGACUAGAUCUUUAACGACGACUAUAAUCGCCAUAAAAAUCCAAAAAAUCGUCAUAAAGGUUUAAUGUUAAACUUCAGGUGAUUCUUGUUUUGUUUUAAACAUACCAUUGAUUUAGUUAAAUGUAUCCAACCAAGAAUAAAAACUCAACAUCAACAAGAUCAUUGCCAUUCUCAAUAAAACAAAACAAGAAUCACAUGAAGUUUAGCAUUAAACCUUUAGUGACGAAUUUUUGGGCUUUUGUGACCACUAUAGUCACCGCUAAAGGUCUAAUUUUUUGUAGUGAAUCCUGGUUGGCAAUGCUUAGGUGGAAGGAUUAGUCCCACGUGACUUGUCAUGUCACUAAAAAUAUUGAGAUGUUAACUCUUGAGGAUAUUUGUGGUCUCUUAGGAUAUAACGGCAGGGGCAUCCUUUAUCCCUAAAUGUAACGAAGGGUAUAAGUGGUCUAUUUCACAUAACAAUUUUGACCCUUUUCCGGUUUGUCAAUGAUUUUUCAUCUUCCGAGAGUCAAAAAGUUUGAGUUAUAAUUUGUGCGUGAAAUCUUUAGUUUCUUUUUAAAUGAAAUUUAUAUGUAUGAAACUAUUUAAAAAGUAAUAUAAAUCACAAUAAUUAAUAAUUUAAGCUAAUUAAAAAAUAUAUAAAAAUUUAUGAUUAAAAAUAAACAUAUUUAGAUUAUGAAAUUUGAAAAGUGCCACGUAUAUUCAACGACUGGAGUUACAACUUAUAAGCGACAUUAGCUCCCGUUACAAACUUGUUUGGUUAUUUGUAGUUAUAAUUCUUAUUCAAACCAAAUUCAAAUAUCCACCCAAUGACUUCAAAAUUUUAUAGUUAAUUUUUCAACUAGUUCCAAUAAAUCUAAACAAUGUUCAAUUUAUAUUUCUCGUAUCGAUCAACUUCGAAAUUUAAAUAAUUUCUUUAAUCUGGUUUAGUAAUAAUGAGUUGCAUUUCUAAUUUGAUUUUCCACCAAUAUCUUAUUGAAUAUGUACUCUAAAUCAUAAUUUGAGCCUCAACAAUAAAUCUAUUUUUUCAACUAAUAAUUAAGAUAUAUUUCAAAUUCAAAUUCAUUUCUUCGAACAUGUAAAGUCAUAUUAAGUUUCAAUGUCCAUAAGUUUUAGGAAAAGAAAUCAUAGAAAAACGCAUCUCCAUUCAAUUAGUUUGAUAUCUAUUUUAUAAAAAAAAAAUAUGUUUUUUUCUAAUUUAUUCCGUCCAAUCAUAUAUUAAAAUACAUUGAUAAUGAUUAUAAAAUUGAAUUUUUAAUCAAGGGUCUAUUUUUUUUUUUACAAGUAGUCCAAAUUGAAAUAUUAAUUUAUUUCUUGAUUUUGUUUAAAUUUUGAAAUCCAAGUGAGUGCUCUAAAGAACACUUUUCUCAAUUUACUACAAGAUAUCAACAAAAAAAACUUAUUAUGUUUGGUAAAUAAAAAUAUAUGAAUAAUUUUAAUUAUAUAAAAUUUUAUUUAACUAUAUAUAAAGAUAACAUUUACAAUAAAUACAUUUAUGUGUAAAAUUAUGAAGUGCAAUGCCCACAAUUGUUGAGAAGACCAUUAUUAUUUAUUUAAUAUACUUUUGAACUCUUGAAUUUUCCUUUUUUAAUCUAUAUCACUUUGGAAACUCAUUAUUAUUUAUUCAAAAUACUUUUGCACUUAUAAAUCUUUCCUUUUUAAUAUAUAUCAUUGGUUUCAAUUUUAUUUGUUUCGUAGGAAUAAUCUUUUCUUUAUUCAGAUCCUAUACAAACUCUUUUUUUACCAAAAUUGGUUAUAAUCUCAAUAAAAAUUGAUAGUCUAAAAGUAUCUUUUAAUAAGAGAUUUUAAUUUUUGGAGCAUACUGAAAGUGCAUUUUAAAAUAUUUUAAUAAAAUAUAACGUUUUUAAUUUAUAUUGAAAAUAUGAUAGUAAUAAUGUUAUUAGGGCAAUUUCAAGUUAAUAAUAUAGCCAUGUAUAUGUAAUACAUUACCUUAGAUCUUGUUGCAUAAAUUUUUUUAUCUAAUAAUAUGAAAAUUUGAAUAAUUUAAUUCAAGGUCUAGAAUUUUUUCACUUUUUAAGAAAAAAGUAAUUCUUUCCUAAUUUCUUUGUAAUGAUUUAGCACUUUUCCUACUACAAAUUUCAAUAUUUAUAAAAGGGAUAAUUGUAUAUAAUAACAAACUAAUAACUUAAAAUAAAUGGAGUGACUACUGUUUGAUUUAAUUGUGCCCCAUAUCAAACGUUUGCCAAUGUUUGCCAGUCGUCUCUCUCCGGAACUCUCGUCGUCACUCUCCCUCUGCUUGCCUCUCUCGCUUCAUACAACAGAAGUGUAUAUAUUGUGUUUCUGUUUUGUAUAAACCGAGAGAAAAUUGUAUAUACACCUGCAAAAACAUAUAUCUUCAUGCUAUACACUUAAUUAUACAAUUUACAAAUUUUUUACUUCGAUUCAAUUGUAUACAAAUAUUGCAGCGAAAAAGGCCAGCGAAUUAUACAAUUGCAGUAAAAUACAAUAUUCUCUCGCUUUAUACAACAAAAGUGUAUAAAUUGUGUUUUGUUUUUUUAUAAAGCGAGAGAAAAACAUAUAUCUUCUUCAUAUACACUUAUAAUUAUACAAUAUACGAAUAUUUUACUUCGAUUCAAUUGUAUGCAAAGCAAAUUUUAUAUACAUAUUGUAGCGAAAUAGGCUAGCGAAUUAUACAAUUGCAGUGAGAUAAGCCAGCGAAUUGUACAAUUGCAGCGAAAUAGGCCAGCAAAUUAUACAAUUUAGAUCAGCGAAUUAUACAGUUGUAUAUGUAUAACGAAUUAUACAGUUAUAUGUUUGCUAUGAGACGCAAUUAUGCAAACUUUGCUAUAGCAUACAAAUAUAAAUUUUUUGUUUGUUAUAUGUGAAAGUUGCCCUAUUUAUAAAAAGUAAACAUAAUGUGAUAAAUCGAUAUUACAAAACCUUUAGGGCCUCAAAUAAAUGGGCUUAAAAUACAACGUUGUUAAUUACCUCUUUGAAUCUUAAUUGUAUUACAUAAUUUAAUAGAGUGUCAUCAUAUGUAAAUAGGAGAAUUAAAAUUUAAAGUUUAUAAAAUUCAAUACAACGUCUUAAAUUAUUUUUACGAUAGAAAAAAAUGCAAAAAAUAUCCUUAAUAAAAUGAAAAAAUACUCAAAAAUAACGUCCGUCAAAUCUUUAAAUUCAGAAAUACCAUCAACCUUUAUUUUCUAGCUUAAGAAUACCCCUCAAACAAAUUCUGAAUUGGGUCAAAUUUUACUUUAUUAUUUGUUACAUUUUAAAUUUCUAAUUAAAUAAAAUCCACCAAUAUAUUAAACCCACCUCUUAAAUCACCGAUCCUUCAUCCUCAUGAGAACAAAACAUCCCAACAAUAGUCAACCAAAAACUUCGAAUUUAAAUUUUGUAAGAAAAAUUAUAAAUGUUUUCAAAGGCUAAUUUUGCACAAGCUAUUCAAUAAAAUUUUGAUUUUCAAAGCUCUAGUGAUUUUGAUGGUGCUUAAAUGCUUCUAAUUGAAUCUUUUUGAGUAAAAUAUAAUAUGUCGAAGUCCUAAAAUAUUGGUUGUAUCACAUGUUUGAACAUACAAUUUACUUAAAUGUUAUCGUAGAAAUUAAAAUUUUGUUGGACUCUAUUAAUUGUGUUCAAUUCCAAUUAGAAUAUUUGGAGGUUAUUUAACCCUAAGUCAUAGUCCACGCCUAUACAAAGGGUACAAAAUUUUCUUAAAAGACAUCUUGAAUAUCCCAUAAACUCUUGGGUUUUUUAACGAUCAAGAUUGCAAAUAUUCCGCAAAUUCGUGGAAUAUUCAUAUACCCACAAUUUGACGUAUAUAUUAGUAAUAUAUUAUAAAUAGGGAUUUUUUUUAUCAAUUUGCACGGGCAAUAAAAAAAAACUCAACAAAAUGUUCAUAUAUACGUAUAAUGUAUCGAUGUUAUAUAAUCAUGCAUACAUAGUGUAUAACUAUGUAUAGAGAGUUAGAGAUAUAUAUACACAUUAUUUAUGCGAUAUUUAUACAUUGCAGAUUUAUUUUUUCCAAUUAAAACCAACUCAAAUCUCUUCUAAACAGUCUCAAAAUUUAAAUCACUUUGGUAUUUCAAUUUUUUAAUAUAUUAUUAAUUCAAAAUAAUUCUUACGUAUGACACGUUAAUUUUUAUUUAAACAUGAAAGGAGGAGGAGGAAGAAAAAGGAGUGCGGCGAAGAAGAAAAGAAGGAAAUAACCAUUAAGAAUUGAAAGAGGACAAGGUAUCAAUAUAGGGAUAAGACACAAGCACCCUCUAAACUAUUAAACUGAGAGCGAAAUCUCAAAAACACACUAUGACUAAAUUAAGGUAUUAUUACCCUAUGAACUUAUUUCUUUUGUAAUUUUUUACACUUUUUUGUCUUACAUGGCACAGUCGGUGGCUCGACGCAAUUGAGACCCGUGAGAGAUAUUUGAAUGUCAUCACGUAAGCCAGAAAAGUGCAUAAAGUUUCAAAAAAAAAAGGGGGGAUCAAGGGAUUAAUAGAACCUUAAUUUAAUUAAAAUGUAUCUGUAGAGUUUCGAUCAUAGUCUAAGGAUACUUGUACCUUUUCCUUAUCAAAAAUACAUUUUUUUGCAAAAUAACAUUGAUCGAGUAACCAUUUACAUAAUAAAUGAUAAUUAAAUUAUUACAAAUAAUAAAUUUUAACUCAACAAACAUUCUAUCUAAACUUUGUUUAUGAAUAUCAAAUACCUAAAACAAAGUUUGUUUGUUUUUUUAGAAAAAAAAAGGAAAUAGAGGAUCAAAAGAUUAAAAGUAAAAAGAAGGGUGGAUGUGUAAACUCUAAAAGGGGUCCAUGUGAGACCCAAAAUACAAAGCAAAAAUAGUAAAAAUUGGGCCCAUAUUUUAGUGUGUUUUGACAGGCUUUUGAUGAAGACAAAGGAAACAGAGUGCACAAAAGUUAAGAGUAAUGGUCGUAUAUAAGAAUGCUAAGUGUCAAAAACCCUGAAAAAGACAACAUUGUCUGUCUCCUUCUUUUGAUUGCAAAAUGACUCACAAAGUCAAUUUAUGUUUCAUUUCAUCAUGACUUUUUCUCUUCUUAUUUCUUUCUUUGAUUUCCACAAAAAUGAAAAAAAGAUCUUUGUUUCUAUAUAGUAUAAAAUAAAUAAAUAAAAAUCUUUGUUUCUAUAUAGUAAUAACACUACUAAUAUACUAUACACCAUAUAGUAUUUCCCGUCUCAUUUUAUAUGCGGUUAUUUGAUUCGGUAUAAAAUUUAAGAAAAAAGAUAAAAUAUUUAAAAGUUGUGAUUCAAAAUAAGUAAUAGAAAAUUAUGUGGUUGAAAAUUAUUUUAUUAAGGCUAAAAUAAGCAUUUUAGAGCUAAAUUGUUACUCCCUCUGUCCUCUUUUUUAUAUGGCAACAUUUGACCCGACAUGAAAUUUAAAAAAUAAUGAAGACUUUGAAAUGUUUAUCAAAUUGUCCUUCAAAAAAAUAACUCAAUUUUCUCUUUCAUAAAUGUAUUAGAAAAUUAAGUGGGACCAAUAAGGAUAAAAAAGAAAUUAUACCUUUAAAUACUUACCAUAUAAGGAAAUGUGAUAUUUUUUUUGGAACUGACCAAAAAAAAUGAUGCGACAUAAAAUAGGACGGAGGGAGUACUUAAUAUGAAAACAUAUCAUUCUUUUUGGGUCUGACUAAAUAGGAAAGUAAGUAACAUAAAUUGAGACAAAUAGAGUAAUAAUUUACUCCAUGGACUCACAAUUUCGCUUUUCGAGAGUUAAUUUUGAUCGAAUUGAAUUAAAUGUGAUUUUAUGAACUUAAAUUUGUCAAUUAAUGUUUAAAUAAGUUUGACUCUCAAAAAUACAGAAACAUAACUAAUAUUCGCUCAGAUUCAAUUUAUAUGACAUAAUUUGAUUUGACAAGUUUAAGAAGAAACAAGGUCUUUUGAACUAUUAGUCUAAAAUAAAUAGUAACUGUAAAUCAAUUUUAUUGGGGGUAAAAUAAACAUUUUAAAGUUAAACUAUAUUAAAUAUAAAAUGUGUUAUUCUUUUUUUGUAUAGACUAAAAAAAUGAGUCACAUUAAUUGGGACAAAGAAAGUAAGUAUUUUGUCACAUAACUAGAGUAUAUAUACCCUUCAUACUAACUGAUAUAUACGAAUCAAAAUCUUAUUCACAAAUUCGAUAUUUAAUAUAUCUCGGAUCAAUGAAUAAAAUUGUGUCAUGUAACCAUAUUUGAUUUUUCUCUCAUAGAAGGACACAUACUCUAAUUUUUGAAUGACAGGAGCAUUAAUAUCCCAAAAAUAUGAUAAAAGAAUGUCUCGAUAUAUUUACAAUAAUUUGAUAAUAUAUUUUUCCUUUUUACUCUUUUACGAAUACUAUCAUAAUACAUUUUUCCAUUUCCCCUUAGAAAUACUAUCAAUUCGACAAGAAACUAGUCAUAUCUGAUAAUCCAAAGGAGGCUAUUGAAAAGUAGAUGAAUAUUGUGAACACUUUGAGAACUAAUAGCACACCUAAAGUUAGUUUGUAUGUUUAAAGUGAUCUUGUAAUUGACUACUUUUAGACUGCUAAAAUAAAAUACUUGCACUACCACCAUUAAUAGUAUUUUUUUUUUUAAUUGGGUGACUAUAUUUGUUUUGAGUUGUUAAUAAAAUAACUUCACCAAAAAAUAAGAAUAAUUCUUUUUCCUAAUGAGGCAAAACAUGUUAAAAGAUAUUAAAGCCUUUAUAUGCAUUUUUGUAAAAGAUAAAAAGAUGUCUAAGACAAUUUUAAAUAUAUAUCACGGAAAUAUUAUUUAAAAAUUGUAACUUAUUUUAUUAUAUUUGUUAAAAUUUAUAAUGAUUUGACCCUUCGCGUGGCCUAGUGAUUUGAGCUUAGGACUUUUAUAUUGGAGGUCUCAAGUUCGACACUUCUUGCUAGCGAAAGCAAAGAGUUUUCCUUCUAGGCCGAGCUUAUCACACCGGAUUUGCCUAGUAUGAGCUACCUCUUCUAUGUGGUUUGCAAACUAUUGCAAAAGAGCGGGGGUUUUACCUUGUACGCACUCAAAGGGUGUGGUGCGGGUUUCCCUUGUUAUAUAUAUAAAUUCUAAUCAUUUGAAAAAAUUAUAAACAUUCCUACUACUAUUUUAUCAAUUGGAUGCAUCACUUUACACGAUAUAUCAGUCAGAUGCAUAAAUUUACGAUGUACCAUGGCAUAUCGAUGUAUCAAACGUUACUCUACGUGACGUAUCAGACACAUACAUCACUUUGUGUGUGAUACAUCACUUUACAUAAUGUAUCGGGAUAUACGCGAUGUAUCAAUCAUAUACGUCACUUUGGAUGUGAUACAUCACUUUAUGCGAUGCAUCGAGACGUUGUGUACUGUACUUAAAAUCGAGAUGCGGUAUAUCAAGAUGUUAAGAGGUGUAUCCAAAAUAAGAAUGUGAUAUCUCGAGACUUUUUAAAAUCUAUCUCGAUUUCACUUAACUCUAAAGAAUUUUUAUAAUUUAGAAAUAGAAAACAAAUAUAAUGUAAUUUAGUUUUAAGAUAGGAAUCUUAAAAUAAUAUUACAAAACAAAAUGCUUAGCAAGAUGAUCAAACAAUAAAUUCCAUUUUUCUUUACAUAAUGAAAGAAAAAGUUGAUACCACUUUUUUGUAAGUGGAAAUUCUGACAAUGUCUUGAAAUUUGACUAGUACAAACUGUCACAAUUUGGGGGGGAAAUAACCAGUAUUGUUUUUUCCUCUUCUAGAUCUCUAGCGGAAAAUUACAGCACAAACAAAAUCACUACUAAUUUAUUUUAUUUUUUUGUUUCACCCAACAUGGCAAAAAUAUCACUUGAUAAAGUCUAGUCAUGUGUGUUUUUUAUUAAAUGGGUUCUUAAGCAUAUAUUAUCAGACAAAUUCAUAAUUUUUGAAUUAUAAAUCUAUCUUUAAUUCAACUUUAUAUUAAAAUAUUAAAUUUUAUCGAACUCUUAAGUACAUUAUAUUUGAAUAGGACUACACUUUUUCCCAGGAAUUAGAGAAAAAGAAAAGGAUACUUUUAUCAUAAGGUCUUCAUCUUCAUGUGAACUAAUUCUAGUACACUCACACUUAUAAGAAAAAGGGUCCCACAAUAUUAUAAAUGGCUUCCCAUGGUGUUGGGGAGCUAAUAUUACUCCCUCCACUUAUCUUUACUUAUUUAAAUUUAAAAUUAUCAAAACAUAAUUUAUUAUUUAUUUUAAAUAAUAUUUAUUAAUAAUAAUAAUAAUUUUCUAACACAUCGAUUUUAUCAUAUUUAAUAAUAAUAUAAUAAAAUUAUUAUUUUUAAAAUAAUAUGAAUAAAGGACAGAACUCACAUACUUAUAAUUCAAAAUUACCAUUCCUUAUAAAUUUAUAAAUAUAAAAUUCCUCAAACUAAUACAAUUAUAUAAGUGUUGGUAUAUUAAUCUGAUAUGCGAUAUAUAUUAAUCGUUAAGUAAGACACAUUACAUUUUAUACAUGAUACACUAUCUGACGUACAUAUUAUACAUGAUACACUAAUAUGUCGUGCGAGAUACACUAAUCUGAUGCAUAAAAUACACUAAUCUGAUGCCCUGAUAUAUUAAUCUGAUGCGUAAAAAUAAAAAUAAUUAAAAAAAUUUUAAAAAAUAAUAAAGAAUAAUGAUACUAAAAAACUUAAGAGUGAGAUUUCUAUUAUUUUUUCAUUAAUAUAUGAAACUAAUACCGAACAAGUAAAAGGAAUAGUAAAAGUUAUAUAUAUAUGAAGUCUUUGAUGUAAUAUUUGAACCAAAGAUUAUUAUUUUGUAUAAAUAUAAUAUAAACUAGUUGCACACGCGUGCGCAGACAGACAAUAAUAAUAUAAAUUAUUCAAUAAUGUUUUUAAGAUCUAACUUCUAUUAUAUAUUAUUAAGCGCAUGCCAAUCAAUGACUUGGCAACUUUUUUUAAAAAAUAAUUAAUUAUGCAUAUCACUCCAAUAUAAUGAAGGAACAAAGUACAUUUAGGAACACACAAAAAUGAAAAAAAGGAAGUAGACCAAGAAACACACUUACUUUUAAAAACAUUGUUCAUUCAUGCAUGUCAUAAUUUUUUAAAAUAAAUUAAUUAAUUAAAACUCAGUCCCCUCGUUUUAUUUAUUCAUAUUGACUUUAUAUUUUAGAAAAGAUUAAUUUAAAAUGUAUUUUAUUAAAAUUUACCUUUGUAAUAAUGUUUUCAAACUCUAAGUUAGACUAUGUUAAUACUAUUUUUAAUAACGUAUAGAAGUUUUGUGGUAAAAUUGUUACCUUGCAUUCUCCUUUACCUAAUUAGGAGAAUAUUUAUUUAGAUAUAUGAAAACACGAGAUCUUAUUAAUAAUAAUAUAAAAAAAAAAGGAUAUCUCAUCACGAUAAGCAUUUGAGAUCUUCUUGACUAAAAAUAUGAAUAUUAAAUUUGUACUAUAUAUUUGUUUCGAAACACAAGGAGUUGAAUGAAUGGAUAUAUUUGGCAUGACUCAUGAUGUGAUAGAUAUAAAUUUUUUAAAUUAGAAUUCACAAUUGAGUUAUUAAAAUAAAAAAAAUGAAAUAACGUAUAUUUUAUAGAUUAAUCGAGUGAUAUAAUUGCAUACAAGUGCUCGAUAAGCUGAUGAUUAUCUAAUAAAAUUAAAGUUGAAUAAAAGAAUUAUAGGCACACUAAUAAUAAUUACAUACAAAUUUAAAUACCUGAUUCUAAUAAGUCUCACUGUUCUUUAUUGAGUAAAUUCAGAUUAAUUCGAAGUUCAAAAUUGAUAUCGAACGUAAAAAAUUUAGACAAAAAGAAUAAAGAGGUUUUGUUUGAUGUUUGAAGAUAAGAAUUUGUGGGCCAUAAGAUAAACACCAAUUUUAUAUUUUUUUUUGAUAAAUAAGAACUAAGGGGGGACAAAGGGAAAACAAUAUUUCAUUUUUUAAUUUAUUUCUUUAUCUUUUGCUAACGUAAUUACAUCUCCAAGAGGGAGAAUCCCUGCGUGAUUGCAUGCAAAUUAAUUAAUGAAUAAAAUACAUAAUCCCAAAUUGGAUAGCAAAGUUUGAAACUUGAUUAAUCACAUUUUCCAAGUAGGUAAAGACAAAAUAUGAACAUGAAAUUACUUAAUUAACAUUACUUAGUCGUUGUUUUCUUUUAACAACUAAGACCUUAAUGAAAAAAGAAAAAUAAACUAAUAAGAGUUUUAAAAAAGGAAUUUUCUUUUCCUUUUUCAAUUUUGACAAAAUAAAAUAAUGGGAGAUGGGAUUUGAUAUCACAAGAGAACAAUCUUACAAAUUAAUAUUAGUGAUAUUGAAUGUGAUAUCAAAUCUCCUAAUGAUACUUAAUGGAACAAAGUUAAAGAGACAUCACAUUUUAGGGUGGAGCCAAUAUACUGUUAUAAGUUUAAUCAAAACUCUUUCUUUAAAAAAUAUUAUUAUUUAUACAUAAAUAAAAUAGAUUGAUAGAAAAAGAUUAAACAUCAAAUUCCUUUUAAUUAAUUUAUGUAUUUUUUUUUAAUUUUAAACUUUUUUAUUAAAACUUUUAACUUCGCCACUUAUCAUAUCUGUUACCUAUUCAUAUUAGAUUUUCAAUAUUAUAUUGCAAGUGAGAAUAGACAGAAGUGAUUUACAAUGAAUGAAUAAAGGUAGAAUAUUAAGGAAGUUCUAGAAUUCUAAAUAUCUCAUUUAAUCUCAUCCAACUUAUAUUAUUUUAUCCCGCCUCUCGUCUAUAAUAAAUUAUUUUAAGACUUAUAUAAUUUUAAAAUAAUUUAAUCUGCCUACUGAAUAACUCUUAUAAGUGUAAAUUAUAUAAGAAUUUUUUUGGAGAUUAAUAUGAAAAUCUGUAGAAAAUUUAUUUUUCUAUAAAUUUUGAUAUAUUUUUUCUAAUUUUUUUUUUUUAUAUAAUUCACACUUUUUUUAAAAUUGACACGUUCUAUUUAAUAUAUAUAGAAAUUUGGCUUGAAAAAAGAUUUAGAUCAAAUAAUUACAUUCUCAAAAGAAAGUAUCCGGUUAUUAUUAUUAUUAUUUGCACCAAAAGGUAUGACCGGGUGGCAAUGAAGUGGUAGAAAAACAUGAGAUUUUAGGUUCAAAAUUUAAUGAAAAUAAAAAAAUACGAGGUGAUUUUUUUCAUCUAUCCUAACCUUAGUGUAGUUAUCUAAAGUGAUGAAAAAUGACAUGUUCCCGUAGAAUAAGUCAAUAUACACAGAAGCUCAAAAUCAUCCGAACACAGUCAUCAUAAAAAAAAAAGAAAAUGUGUUAUUUUAAAUAAUAAAUAAAAAUUAUUUGGCUAAUAAUAAAAUGUUCAAAGAAAUGUAAGUUGAAAGAUAAGUUAAAGUGGGUGGAGAUCAAUUGGCAUGUUAGCUGAAGUGGAAGUCACUUAUUCCUACGUAAUCUCUCUAUCUAAUAAUGAAAGUUGUCUCUCUUCUUAACCGUGUGGGUCAUAAUCAUUCUUAUUAUUAUAAAUAAACUCUGAUUAGCCACUACUAAUUUUUAAUUAAAUUAAUUGUCCCUUCAUAGCUUCAUAGGUUUCUACUAAUCACCUUUAUUCCCUAAGCUAAAAACAAAAGUUAUUAAAUAGUAGUAGUAGUAGUACUUAUCAAUCUACACAACUUGCUUAGUUUUAGCCUUCUUUUUAGUAAGCAAAUCAUUUUAAACUUUACCUUUCUAGUUUUUAUUUAUGACAAAAAAGGAGACUAAUUAAUCCUUUUCAUGUAAAUGUACCAAUAUAACCUUCUAUUUUGUUCUCUUUAAAAAAUUAUGGUGAUGUUUAGACUAGUUCGUGAAUACUUUGAGAUGAGCCUAUAUUGAUGUAACAGGUAGUUGAGUAUUGGCUACUAUGCUAAUGUAACAGGUGCUUAAUUAUCUGUCAGUAGUGGAGUCAGAAAUUCACGAAUGAUAUCCAGAAAUAAUACAUAAAAAUCUCUUUUCAAAAAGUAAAACUAGUGAGAAUCGAACAUAUCAGCACUACCUCAUUCCGAGUAUCUGAAAUCACUGGGCUAUAACAACUUGUUAUGUUAUGGGUGUCCAAACUAUAUUAUUUAAUCAUUUCUUAUAUCAUUUUUCUUAUAUAUACCACAUUUUGUCUGACGAAGGGUGUCCAAUUGAACACGUUGACUACCAUGUACCACACUUUUUUUGUGUUGAAAAUUGGUAUUACCAUACAAAAUUAUUAGCACAUGAAUAUUUACUAUCUUUUCCCAAGGUAAAUAUCAAGUAAUUCUAGAUUGAUUCUUAAAUGGAAGUCAACAUACUCACUAGCUAGACAAUUAGGUAUUUGAGCUCUAUAAUUUUUUCGAUUCCUUUUAAUUAAGAAUAUAUAAUCCGAUGGCUUAAAAUGUAGAGUAGUAGCAGUUAAUACAUGCCCAAGAUUUUUUAGAAUCUGGUUAACACUGUUGUACAGUUUAAAUUAUUCAUUUAUCCUUCUUUUUUUAAAUAAAUAAUUAAAUAAAAAUAUGCCUUUAAAUAGAUUUACAAUUUACUUCCUUUGUAUCAAAUUAUUUUGCGUUUCCCUUUUAUUGACACCUUAAGACUAUUUUAGAGGUUUUUAUUUAUUUAUUAUAUACCCUCUUUUGUCCCAACAUAAAAUAUCUCUUCAUUAAAUAUUUUUUCUAUCAAAGUAUUUAUAGUAAUAUAAAAAGUUGCCACUAAAGAUAAAAUGGAGAAAAAUAAUUAAUUUUAUAUUAAAUUUCUAAAUAACAUAUAAUUUGACUUAGUUAUUUUUCAAAAAUCAUGAUAUGUAAUUUAAAUAGGGAAUAUGCACUUGCAAUUAUUUUUAUUUAAAAUAUUAAUUAACUUUCAAAGUCACUCAAUUUAAUUUUGUUUUCAAAAAGUUAACUAAUUUUAUCUAGUAUUCCUUGGUCAUCAAACUUUAACUAGUUAACUCUCAUGAUCAUUUUAGCCAAAAAUAUAAUUUUUGUUAUUUAAUAUCGUGUAAGGAUUUGAUGGGGGUACUUUUCUAAUUUUAACUAUUUUAUUUUUCAAUAAGUUAUUUCACCUAAAAGAGAGAUAACUUAUUACAAUACUAAUUAUUAAUUCUAAAAGUACUUAAAUAAAUAUAAAUAUUACUUUUAAUUUAAUUUAAUAUUUUGAUUAGAAUAUUACAGUUUUCACAUCAUUAAGUAUGUAUUAGAAAUUAUAUUUUCGACUAAAUAACGAUGAAGCUAACUUAACAAAGUUGAACGACCAUAAAAUCUAACUAGAUAAAGUUGGAUGACUAUAAAAAAAAAAAAAAAAUUUAAUAACUUUGAUUAUCUAUUGCUAUAAAUGAAGGGCAACUUUUGCAUAUAGCAAAUAAAAAAAUCAUAUUUGUAUGUUAUAGCAAAAUUUGUAUAGUUGCGCUUCAUAGCAAACAUAUAGCUGUAUAAUCCGCUAUACAUAUAAAACUGUAUAAUUCGCUGGUCUAAAUUGUAUAAUUCGCUGGCCUAUUUCGCUGCAAUUGUAUAAUUCGCUGACCAAUUUCACUGCAAUUGUAUAUUCCGCUGGCCUAUUUCGCUGCAAUAUGAGUAUAAAAUUUGCUUUGCAUACAAUUGAAUCGAAGUAAAAUGUUUGUAUCUUUGUAUAAUUAUAAGUGUAUAGGAAGAAGAUAUAUGUUUUUCUCUCGCUUUAUACAAAAGCAGAAACACAAUUUAUACAUUUCUGUUGUAUAAAGCGAGGGAAAAUUUUAUUUCACUGCAAUUGUAUAAUUCGCUGGCCUUUUUUGCUGCUAUAUUUAUAUAAGAUUUGCAUUUGUAUACAAUUGAAUCGAAGUAAAAUGUUUGUAAAUAAUAUAAUUAAGUGUAUAGGACGAAGAUAUAUGUUUGUGCAUGUGCAUAUACAAUUUUCUCUCGCUUUAUAUAAAACAAAAACACAAUUUAUACACUUAUGUGUAUAAAGCGAGAGAGGCGAGCAGAGGAAGAGUGGCGAGCAAGAAUGAGAGAGUGGCGAGCGAGAGUUUUAGGAGAGAGACGACUGACAAACUUUGGCAAACGUUUGCUAUGGGGCACAAUUAAAUCAAACAGUAGCUACUUUAUUUAUUUUAAAUUAUUAGUUUGCUAUUAUAUACAAUUAUCCCAUAAAUUAAAUGACCAUUUAAACAUUCCACUAAAUUUUUUUUUUUGUAAAAUUGCUACCUAUAAUAUUUUAACUUGUUUUAAAAACUUUAUUAUAUUUCUAAUGACUUGUAUUAGUAAUAAUAAAUAUUACUAAAACACUUGUAAUGCUGACAACAUAAAAUUUAAUGGCUGUCAUAUCAAAGUUUCAUUUAUUUUUUUAAAAAUGAAUAAUUGGCAGAAGCACUAACUAUAAUGGUAAUAAAAUUGAUGUUCAUUGGAUUAGUAGACAAGUGACCGAAAGGUGUUACAAACAACUUAUUAUUGAGAUUAUUACAUUAUAUUUGUGAAAUGAGUAACUAAUAUUUGUCCCACUUAGCUUGAUGAGUUCUUCAACAUAAUAAGUACACACUCAAUUCAUUUAUUUGCAUGCUACUUUAAUUUAUCAUAAAUAAUAAUAACUUUUAAGCAAACUAUACUACUUCGAUAAUUUUUUUUAUGAAAAAAUCCCUUUUAGUAGUAAGAGUUGUGAAUAAGUACCAUAUUCUGCCUAUGGGAAGACCUAUAAGAACGAAGAAGUCGAGUGACCUAGGUCAGAGUCAUGUAAAUUGAAGGGUUCACUAAAAAAAGAAGAAAAUUAUUUUUUUGCUAUCGGCUAUAGUUUUUGACAUGAUGUUAAAUAUUUGAUUCUAACGUAAAUUUGGAGUUUGAUUGUAUCAUUGUAUAUUCAAAACUGUGUUAUAGUAUUAACUACACACUUUUCAAGAUUGCUCCAUCUUUAACUAAAGGUUUCAAGUUCGAGUCCUAGAUGGAAAAAAUUAUGUUGGGAUCGCAAUCACCAAACGGGCCCUGUAGUGCCUGAUCUGAAUUUAAUUGAGGUUCUAAUGCGAGCUUCCGACGCAAAACAAGAAAAUGAAAAGAAAAAGAAAAGCUACCACACUAUACAUUGAUUAAUUAUAAAUACUUUUUUGCAACAUUUGUCACAACUUGUUUAUAUACUAGAAUGCUACGAAGGUAUAGGAGCACAACCCAACUAAUUAAUUCCCAAUAGAAUAUAAUUGUACUUAAAUUCGAAUUAGCAAUUAAUUAAUCCCACCAGAAAGUACUUCAAAAUUCAUAAAAACAAAACAAAAAAACUUUUUGAGCUAGCAAUAGUGCAUAGUUGAUUAAUCAAACCACUCUGAUUUAUUAGUUUCCUACAUUUAAUUUUAUUUAUUAAAGAAAGUAUUACUCAAUAAUUAGUGGCAACACAGUAUAAAUUAAAUAAAUCGUAGUACAAUUUUGAACCCAAAUUCACAAAAUUCAAAUUAUGGAUCCCUCCCUAUCCCAAUGAUGACAUGAGGGGAUCACCUCGUUAACUAGAUGGGCUAAAAUUUUUUAAACUAGUUGGGCU
rnacentral:lncRNA from 1 species